rnacentral:rRNA from 1 species
CUCGGAAGGAUCAUUACCGAGUGCGGGUUCCAACGAGCCCAACCUCCCACCCGUGUUUACCAUGACCGCGUUGCCUCGGCGGGCCCACUGGGGCCUGGCCCCGGUCGCCGGGGGGCUCUUGCCCCCGGGCCCGCGCCCGCCGAAGCGCCCUGGAACCCUGUCUGAAUAGUGAGUCUGAGUGAAUGAUUAAAUCAUUAAAACUUUCAACAACGGAUCUCUUGGUUCCGGCAUCGAUGAAGAACGCAGCGAAAUGCGAUAAGUAAUGUGAAUUGCAGAAUUCCGUGAAUCAUCGAAUCUUUGAACGCACAUUGCGCCCCCUGGCAUUCCGGGGGGCAUGCCUGUCCGAGCGUCAUUUCUGCCCUCCAGCCCGGCUGGGUGUUGGGCGCUGUCCCCCCGGGGACACGCCCCAAAGGCAGUGGCGGCGCCGCGUCGGGUCCUCGAGCGUAUGGGGCUUUGUCACCCGCUCGGGAAGGACUCGUCGGCGCUGGUCUUCCUCCAGGCGACCCUUCGGGGUCCGUCUUCUUUCGGUUGACCUCGGAUCAGUAGGGUUACCCGCUGAACUUAAGCAUAUCA